rnacentral:rRNA from 1 species
UNUGCUGUGAAAGGCUGGGGCUUAACCCUGGUUUUGCAGUGGGUACGGGCUAACUAGAGUGCAGUAGGGGAGACUGGAAUUCCUGGUGUAGCGGUGGAAUGCGCAGAUAUCAGGAGGAACACCGAUGGCGAAGGCAGGUCUCUGGGCUGUAACUGACGCUGAGAAGCGAAAGCAUGGGGAGCGAACAGGAUUAGAUACCCUGGUAGUCCAUGCCGUAACCGUUGGGCACUAGGUGUGGGGGACAUUCCACGUUUUCCGCGCCGUAGCUAACGCAUUAAGUGCCCCGCCUGGGGAGUACGGCCGCAAGGCUAAAACUCAAAGAAAUUGACGGGGGCCCGCACAAGCGGCGGAGCAUGCGGAUUAAUUCGAUGCAACGCGAAGAACCUUACCAAGGCUUGACAUAUACUGAACUGCGUCAGAGAUGGCGUUUCCCUUCGGGGCUGGUAUACAGGUGGUGCAUGGUUGUCGUCAGCUCGUGUCGUGAGAUGUUGGGUUAAGUCCCGCAACGAGCGCAACCCUCGUUCUAUGUUGCCAGCACGUGAUGGUGGGGACUCAUAGGAGACUGCCGGGGUCAACUCGGAGGAAGGUGGGGAUGACGUCAAAUCAUCAUGCCCCUUAUGUCUUGGGCUUCACGCAUGCUACAAUGGCCGGUACAGAGGGUUGCGAUACUGUGAGGUGGAGCUAAUCCCUAAAAGCCGGUCUCAGUUCGGAUUGGGGUCUGCAACUCGACCCCAUGAAGUCGGAGUCGCUAGUAAUCGCAGAUCAGCAACGCUGCGGUGAAUACGUUCCCGGGCCUUGUACACACCGCCCGUCAAGUCACGAAAGUUGGUAACACCCGAAGCC